UCUUCAUUUUGCUGUUCAGAAGAACAAGCCUCCCUGCAGCCACCUGCUGGAAGUCACACAGGUGGCAGGGUAUUGCCUCGCUCAGUUGUCAAGGGUUACACUCAGCAGAAAAAGCCUGCAUCGGACGCGUGUGUCCUGAGAGCAUUCUGAGUUGAAAUAAACAUCCCUGUGUUUCCAUCUCUGCAUGCUUUUCUGAAGUAUAAUUGUUGGGUCGAAAGCAGCUUCAGGAACUGCUUGUCUUCAUAGUCAAAGCGGCUUCCAAAGACGACAGAACUGAUGACAUUUGAGACAGUGCGGCUCAGGAAGAAGCUGGGAUGUGGAAUUGAUGGCUGGAGCUCUAGCAGUCAUUUGCAUCAUGACAUGAUCUUGGGAAUGGAAAACACACAUCAUAGAACAAGAGAGAAGAGCCAGACCCUGUGGAGCACCCUACACUGACAACCUCUGAAAGUGUCCAAUAUAUGGCAAAGAUCACCAGGACAGACAUGUGGCAGACAGGAAGAGGUAAAGACCUCUCAGAUGUCCAUGUUACCAGGAAGAAGGAACCGUCCUUGGCCAUGGGCCCUGGAAUCAGAGAUCCUGGGAUUCAGCCUCUUCAGUAACCUGAAUACCUUUGGAUUAAAAUCCUGGGGGUUGGAUCCCACGUGGGAGUUGCCACAGGAACUUCUAAGAUCUGGGGGACUUUUCAGAUGCUGCCAAGUUUCUUUGGCCUGGACUGUGAUGUCCCAAGUGGAUUCAGGUGAACCCAGAUGAGAAGAUUGUCUUUUUGAAGAUUGUCUUUAAGCCAAACAACUGUGGACAAGACAGUGAGGUAAUGUAGUAAAAAUGAUAUGACUGCCCAAAACAUCCCUUUGGAAGGCACCAAGGGUGGGGAAUAAUUUCAAAAUGUCCCUUUGGCCAGAUUUUUGUCAAUCUCAUUGACCACCCACCCAGCCUCUAGAAAGCUGCCUUCUUUUGGUGCAGAUGUGGAAUCUCUGGACAAGAGAACAGGGUCACAUGAUGUGAAUCACAGAAACUAAUGUAGAAGGAAUCAACCAGCUCUUUUCUCAAAAGCAGAUUCUGAGGCUCUGAUGGCUUCCUUUCCAGAACACUUUUCCAAGUAUCUUCUGGACUCUCUCCUAAGUACUGAAUCCUUCAGGGCUCCUAAAACUGUUGUAACAAGAAAGACCUGGGGGCAAGAGGUCUACAAGGAUGAACUCUGGCAGAACUCAUGUUGCUGAAGGCUUACAUGAAUGUUUGAAUGUGUGGAUUAAAAAAAUAUUAACAACUUGGGGCGCCUGGGUGGCUCAGUCACUUGAGCGUCUGACUUCAGCUCAGGUCAUGAUCUCAUGGUCCGUGAGUUCAAGUCCUGCGUCAGGCUCUGUGCUGACAGUUCAGAGCCUGGAGCCUCCUUCAGAUUCUGUGUCUCCCUCUCUCUGCCUCUCUCCUGCUCACUGUCUCUCUAUCUCAAAAAUAAAUGAACAUUAAAAAAUUUAAAAAAAUAUUAACAACUGGAUGGCUUAGGAAGAAUAGAUACUCUAAGUAAUGUACAGGGCAGAACUGGUAGAAAGUGUGAGCCCUUGAAGAAGAGUCACUCUAGAGAUAAAAAGUGGUAGAAGUGUUUGGUACAGGGGAUAGGCAUGACUCUGAUUCUUAAACAGAGAAAAUGUUUUGGAAAGACAUAAAUGAGUCAUAGAUUCCAUGGCUACUGUCUCUCCUUCCUUGCCAGUGACUCAAGGCUCAAACUCCAAGGAAUGACCGCUUGAUGAAUAUAGAUUGGAUCACAUGCCUGACCUCUGGCUAUAUGGUGACUGGGUAAGGGAAGAACCUUACUCCCUGAGAGAGACUGAUUUGUUCCCAAAUUUUCACUCCUCUGUUAUAGGAAUAUACACACCCACAUUCUUUGCCAUGUACCUUUGCAACACCUCCCAUUGUGAGCAGAAUAUAUAGACCCCUCCAUGUUGGACUUGACCAUGUGACUUGCUUUAACCAAUGGGAUGCAAACAGAUGCUUUAACUCUGCUGCCCAGGUUUGAUAGCUUCUUAUGCUGCUGUCAUCUGCAGGAGAGGAGCAGGAGAGGAGCAGGAGAGGUAGCUGCUUCCCCAUUAGCUUGGGCCCCAGAAUGAAGGACUCCAGACUUUCAGUUGGAUUCAGGUCUUAACAAACAGAUUUUCUGGCAUAUACAUAUAAAAUCUAUUAUAUACAUGCAUAAUACAUAUAUAUACAUAAUAAAUAUGCAUUAUACAUUAUUUACAUUAUAUAUUAUUUACAUAAUAUGCAUUACCAAACCAUACGAACAUACCUGCUACAUUGCCUGGCACAUAAAAGGUCAUUUCAUUCAUUCAUUCAUUUAUUCACUCAUUCAUUCACCAUCUUCCUGAGUGUCUUUGUCACUCUAUUACCCACUAUUCCCCCUCCUUCUGGUCUUGCCCUUCUUUUCCUUGGCCCCUCCUCCUCUCCUUCUUUCCCUGAUUAUUUCCCUCACAUACUUCCUUUGCUCCUGUGUCUGUCUCGUCAUUCAUUCACUGACACCAGUGAGGUGACCAGUGAGUGUCAAUUCCAUUCUGACACUGAUUGCCUGGCAUUCGCAUCGGAUUCCACAGGUUUAAGGGCUCCAUCCCACAGGACUGUCCCCACUUCAGCUUCUACCUACAAAUUUCAGGUAUCCCCAAGCCAUCCACACUUCUGCCUAGCUGGCUACAAAUUCAGGGCUUCCUACAGCCCUCUCAGUAGUUCCCUAAUUCACUAGAACAACUCACAGAACUUAGCAAAACACUAUACUUAGGACUAUAGUUUUAAUAUCAUUAUUCUAAAGUUUUUUAAUGUUUAGUUUUGAGGGGGAGGGAAGGGGAAAAGAGAGAGACAGAGACACAGAAUCCAAAGCAGGCUCCAGGCUCCAAGCUGUCAGCACAGAGCCUGAUGCAGGGCUCAAACUCAUAGACCGCAAGAUCAUGACCUGAGCUGAAGUCGGACACUUAACUGACUGAGACACCCAGGCAUCCUCAUCUCAUUUUCUUAUAUUUAAAAUUUGUCUAUUUGUUUCCCAUAGGGGGACUGAAUAAAUAGGGUCCACUGCUGUUCCCUGGUCCAGUAGGAAAAGUCAGUCCCCAUCCCAAGACCCUAAAUGUGGAGAGUAGAUGUGGUCUGCUUACCUCGAGAGAAGGGGCAAAGAUGGGAUCCUCCUUGAAUGUCUCUUCCUCAUCGAGGCUAAGAGAGAUGAUGUCUCACUUCUCACAGCAGUGAAGUCAUAAAGGAUUAAGCUAGGGGUAGAGUAUAUCCUGGGAUUGAGUGAUCCUAGGAGAGUUACACAAGUCUCCUUCCCAAAGACAGCCUGGCAGAAGACCCUCAGAACACUUUGGUGAACAAAAGAGAUUCUCAUUAGAAUAAAGACCCUCAUUCCAAAUUUUCCUGGCCCUAGCUAGUCUUGUCUUGGGGGUGAGUUAUUGUUGAAACAAAGACUUCUGGGGAGGGCAAAGCACUUGAACAAGGGGAGAGAUUACAGGGUCUCUGGAUCUCACAAGGAGCAGCUUUAGUUCAGAGAUUUUUUUCUUGGUGGCCAAGUGCGUAUGGGUGAGCUGGCCAAUCACCUUGUAAACCUCUUCCUGUGUUUCCUCUGGAUGAAGUAAGUGUCAGGGAACCUCACUGACAAGGAGCAGCUUUCCAAGAAAGCCUUGGAAGGACUGGUGAAUCUGGGAAAAUUGGUACUAAACAGGGGAGUCAUUUCCAUUCCAUACUCUAACCAAUAGGACCAAAAGCCAGGUCUCAGACAUCCACUAUUUAGUGGGAUCAUCAAGUGUCAUCUGGGUAAAAAGUCCUAUAUGGACAUGACUUUAAUUUUUAAUUCCAGCUCAUUUUUGUAAACAUGCAUUGUGAUAGAGUGGGGAAGUUGUGAGGAGUCCGGAAUCCUGGACUCCAAUUUUUUUGCCCACCCCAUUGAUCUCCUUUGAGAUAUUGGAUAACCACCUCCCUUCUUAGAUCCUAAUGUCUGAGAUGUUGGGUUGGUCUAGAUAAUAUCUUCCAGAAUCAAGACUAGUUUAUGAUAUUUAUUCAUCUGCCAAAGUUAUUUUAAGAGUCAAGUGUGGGGGCACUUGGUGGCUCAGUCAGUUGAGUAUCCGAUUCUUGGUUUCAGCUCAGUCUGUGAUGUCACUAUUCCUGGGUUUGAACCCUGCAUCAGGCG